AGGCCGGACGGAAGGAGCCUGGAGCCCUGACGAAUUUACAAGGCAGAGCUUCUGUGACUGCUCCGGCUUUCCCACUAGAGAGAAACACAUUUCCAUCUUGACUAAGCCGCUGUCAUCUUGGGUCUGUCUUGGGAGCCAAACCUAUACUUAGAUACCACCUCAUGGGGACUCUGUAAGGCUCUCCUGAGCAAACGUAUGCACAGCAUCAUACAUACGUGUGCAUCCCGGAUGGUUAUUAGGUUGGAAUCAUGUUAUCGUUCCCCUUCUUCAAAAUCCUUCUAGAGCCUGUGCCAUCUGCCCCUCGCCCUCCGAACAGAGAUCACAUUCGUCGAUGAGGCCUCAAAGGUAAGCGACGCUGUCCAGGAGGCUGCGACACAGGUCCUCGUGCUCUCUCACCGCCCUCCUGACGUCCCCUCCCAGGAUCCCCUCCAGAGCCUCGUCCUUGGAAGCCAAGUGUGAGAGCAGGGUCACCAGCUCCACCUUGUGGAUGGUCUCGUCCAGUACGGACAUGACCCUCUUGGUCUCGAUGGUGGUGAGUUUGGACUUCGAGGGGACCAAGGGUUUUAGCGGGGAGGCCGGCUUUUUGGACAGCUCUGCUGUCAGCCUCAUUCUGUUGAUGUCAGGGCCCUGGUAGAGAGGGGCCACGGCGAGGACAUCGAGAGCCAUUUCCCGAGCGGUCUCCCUUGCCCCUGUGCGCCCUGGGAGGCGCAGACGUUGGCAGACUACGUAGGUCUCCUGCCGUUAGUGGCUCUGGCGACCCUGCGAAGGAAGGAGUAAGCGGUUAGUGGCGCGGUGCUGCACGAAUGUGGCUGCUGUGGCCGCAGCGGCCACAGACCGUCAACGCCGAGAGCUCGUCCCGGGUGCCCCGCAGCUUUUACGCAGAACCUCUCACUGAAGGCAGUUUCUAGCGUUGUGAGGGCAUCGGACACGAGGGAAGGGGGACCAAGCGUAGAGGUGGGUCUCAGGCACAGAUGUCAGGCAGGGCGCAGCCGGGAGUGCAGACGCCAUUCUGUUGAAGCGACUUAACUAGGUAGGAUAUUAAGUGUCCCCGGAAAUGGGUUUGUUCAGCCAUUUACAUUAAUGAGCAUUUAAUCGCAACAGACAUCGUUUCGGGUGACUUAACAUGAAUGAAUAAAAGUCAAUGCUAUUGAAUUUUUUUUUUUUUAAAGCAUCUAAAUAUAGAAAGCCAGUUACACGGGUGAUGGAAAGAGUUGAGAGGCUAACCAGGGAAGGGGAAGCCACCCAGCCACAGUCAACGGCAGGAGGCCACCACAGAAGGAGCUGGUGGUGAGCUUGGAGGACGAGGGUCACCCAGGGGAAGCUGGAACCUCACCCACUUCCUGUCCAGGCAGAGCUAUAGCCCCCCCACCCCCCUGGAGCUGUGGCCACCGCUGGAAACGCAGCCCAAAGCAGAGAGAAGAGGAAAUACUGUGGUUUCUUCUUCCUCCCACCCUCCAAUCCGACACCAGCGCCUCCCAUCGGCCAAACCCAGGGGGAAGCCAGAGGACAAGACGAGUGGGCACAGCAGCCUGCAGGUGUCAGCAGCCCGAGACAGAGCAGCACAGGGACAGAGGGAACAAUGCGGCUGCGAGCAAAUGGGACUGGGACUGGGACCAGCACAGCACAUCUGCGCUGGUUUUUAAGUAUGGAUUUUAAAAGUCGGGGGGGGGGGGGGCGCGAACAGUGACUUUGAAACAGUCUUUCGAACCUGCUUCGCUACGUGCAAUGUUGUAUCUUGGACUGGAUCCUGGAAUGGGAAACGGACAUUAGUAGGAAAAUGUAAAAUCAAACCAAACCGAUGGUGUCGUUAACAGCAUUGUACCAACGUUAGUUUCUUGGUGUUGACGGACAGACCCAUCACGGUUAUUGAAGAUAUUAACGUUGGGAGAGCUGAGUACAGGGCAUUUGGGAAUCCUGAACUAUCUUUGCAACUUUUCCGUAAAUCUACGGUCAUUACAAAAUAAAAAGUUGAAAAGAC